GGGCGGAGGUCAGGAAGAAGGGGUGUAAUUCUUGCAUGGAGGGUCAGAACAGAAGUAAAGCUUUCUGCAGUCUACUCUCCUUUUGUAGUCAGAUAAAUUCAGGCUAGAUUCCUAAUUUUCCACUUAUUAGUUGAGUGACUUUGGGCAAAUUAACUCACCUCCCUAACCUUCAGUUUUAUCUGUAAACCUUAUGAUAGCAGUUUGCUCCCGUGAGGCUACAUAAGGCACCUAAUACACUUAGCAGAGCGCUUAGUACCUGGCAAACGCUCACUAAUUGUAAGAUAUGAUUGCUGUUAAUAGCGUUCGCUGCUAGUGGCUGGCUCAUAAGCGUUUUUUAAAAAUCACCACUUCAAUCCCCUUAGAACGUGCUUCCUUAGGUUAACGGCCCUUAUUCUUCUGUGUCCCACGUCUCAACAGAGCCCCUUCCUCCUCCACCCAGGGGAGGCCCAACUGCACCAGGCCAUUCCACUGCUUCAGGACGCAACUGUGCAGGGAGUCCCCACGCCACCGCCACGUGGACGCAGUAGCCGUGGGGAAGUUUUCGCAAUGGCCGCCGGAACGGUCGCCGGCCGAUGCUCUCUGCGACGGAAAGAAAGCCGCCGGACCCACUUCCGGUGCGUUUUACAAUGAACUCCGGGCACUCGAGUCGCUCCCCGGAAACUAUAGUUCUGCUUCCACCGUUGUCCUACUUUGGAUAGAUGGGGUCUUGCUCUGUCACCUAGGCUGGAGUGCAGUAGCAUGAUAUGGCUCACUGCAGCCUCAAACUUGUGGGCUUAAGCGAUCCUCCUGCCUGCCUUCUGAGUAGCUAGGACUACAGAGCAUCAAGACAAAAAUCUCAGUCUUCGAGGAACUCACAGUGUAGCAGAAAAGACAAAGGAGGUAAACAGGAGGAGCAUGAAUAAUUCAUCUUGAUGUAAUCAUGCAAGACUCCUAAGAAGAUGUUAGGAGACCCUGUCAUCAUUCUUUUGGCCUCUAGUGUCCUUUAUCUUCAUGUUUGCUGGCUUCCUUUUACUACUAUGGAAAUACAACAUAUGCAAAAGUAGUGUUUUCACUGUUUAAAAACAUCGUCAGCAGCAUCAUCAUCAUUAACUGCACCAGGAAGCCAUGACUCCUUUCUGGACAAGGUGCACUUGCCUGUCAUCCUUCCAUCUCUUUCUUCCUCCUUGAAGUUCACAAUACCCAGUCCAGGAGCAUUGCAGAGAAUGCUAGGUGUGUCUGCAGACUUGACUUUAAAAGAAAACAAGUUCCUUCAAGUGAGUUCAUCAUGAUGGGAAUGAUAAUUUGUUUGAGAGAAUGUGUGUUCUUUGGCAAAGGAACUCCUGUUAUACCAUGACAGUAAUAAUAGCAGUAAUAAAAUCACCAAUAAUAAAUUUACUUUUGAAUUUAUUU
rnacentral:lncRNA from 1 species